UGGUAUUGAUUGGUGCUUGCAUCAUGAUUUACAUUUGAGUGAGUGGCGAACUGGUGAGUAACACGUGGGAAACCUGCCCAGAAGCGGGGGAUAACACCUGGAAACAGAUGCUAAUACCGCAUAACAACUUGGACCGCAUGGUCCGAGUUUGAAAGAUGGCUUCGGCUAUCACUUUUGGAUGGUCCCGCGGCGUAUUAGCUAGAUGGUGGGGUAACGGCUCACCAUGGCAAUGAUACGUAGCCGACCUGAGAGGGUAAUCGGCCACAUUGGGACUGAGACACGGCCCAAACUCCUACGGGAGGCAGCAGUAGGGAAUCUUCCACAAUGGACGAAAGUCUGAUGGAGCAACGCCGCGUGAGUGAAGAAGGGUUUCGGCUCGUAAAACUCUGUUGUUAAAGAAGAACAUAUCUGAGAGUAACUGUUCAGGUAUUGACGGUAUUUAACCAGAAAGCCACGGCUAACUACGUGCCAGCAGCCGCGGUAAUACGUAGGUGGCAAGCGUUGUCCGGAUUUAUUGGGCGUAAAGCGAGCGCAGGCGGUUUUUUAAGUCUGAUGUGAAAGCCUUCGGCUCAACCGAAGAAGUGCAUCGGAAACUGGGAAACUUGAGUGCAGAAGAGGACAGUGGAACUCCAUGUGUAGCGGUGAAAUGCGUAGAUAUAUGGAAGAACACCAGUGGCGAAGGCGGCUGUCUGGUCUGUAACUGACGCUGAGGCUCGAAAGUAUGGGUAGCAAACAGGAUUAGAUACCCUGGUAGUCCAUACCGUAAACGAUGAAUGCUAAGUGUUGGAGGGUUUCCGCCCUUCAGUGCUGCAGCUAACGCAUUAAGCAUUCCGCCUGGGGAGUACGGCCGCAAGGCUGAAACUCAAAGGAAUUGACGGGGGCCCGCACAAGCGGUGGAGCAUGUGGUUUAAUUCGAAGCUACGCGAAGAACCUUACCAGGUCUUGACAUACUAUGCAAAUCUAAGAGAUUAGACGUUCCCUUCGGGGACAUGGAUACAGGUGGUGCAUGGUUGUCGUCAGCUCGUGUCGUGAGAUGUUGGGUUAAGUCCCGCAACGAGCGCAACCCUUAUUAUCAGUUGCCAGCAUUAAGUUGGGCACUCUGGUGAGACUGCCGGUGACAAACCGGAGGAAGGUGGGGAUGACGUCAAAUCAUCAUGCCCCUUAUGACCUGGGCUACACACGUGCUACAAUGGAUGGUACAACGAGUUGCGAACUCGCGAGAGUAAGCUAAUCUCUUAAAGCCAUUCUCAGUUCGGAUUGUAGGCUGCAACUCGCCUACAUGAAGUCGGAAUCGCUAGUAAUCGCGGAUCAGCAUGCCGCGGUGAAUACGUUCCCGGGCCUUGUACACACCGCCCGUCACACCAUGAGAGUUUGUAACACCCAAAGUCGGUGGGGUAACCUUUUAGGAACCAGCCGCC
rnacentral:rRNA from 1 species